UACGUAGGGUGCGAGCGUUAAUCGGAAUUACUGGGCGUAAAGCGUGCGCAGGCGGUGAUGUAAGACAGUUGUGAAAUCCCCGGGCUCAACCUGGGAACUGCAUCUGUGACUGCAUCGCUGGAGUGCGGCAGAGGGGGAUGGAAUUCCGCGUGUAGCAGUGAAAUGCGUAGAUAUCAGGAGGAAUACCGAUGGCGAAGGCAGCCCCCUGGGUCGAUACUGACGCUCAUGCACGAAAGCGUGGGGAGCAAACAGG
rnacentral:rRNA from 1 species